AUUGAACGCUAGCGGCAUGCCUAACACAUGCAAGUCGAACGGAGUGGCGGACGGGUGAGUAAUGUCUAGGAAUGUGCCCGGUAGUGGGGGAUAACGACAGGAACGGGUAGCUAAUACCGCAUACUAUUUGAGCGGCCUAGAUCGGAUUAGCUAGUUGGGGGUGUAACGGCUUACCAAGGCGACGAACCGUAGCUGGUGUGGGAGGACGAUCAGGCAGACUGGGACUGAGAGACGGUCCAGACUCCUACGGGAGGCAGCAGUGGGGAAUAUUGGACAAUGGGCGAAACCCUGAUCCAGCCAUGCCGCGUGUGCGAAGAAGGGCUUCGGGUUGUAAAGCACUUUAAGCAGGGAAGCGGUACCUGCAGAAUAAGCACCGGCUAACUACGUGCCAGCAGCCGCGGUAAUAC
rnacentral:rRNA from 1 species